rnacentral:rRNA from 1 species
GUAGGGUGGCAAGCGUUGUCCGGAAUUAUUGGGCGUAAAGCGCGCGCAGGCGGUCCUUUAAGUCUGAUGUGAAAGCCCACGGCUCAACCGUGGAGGGUCAUUGGAAACUGGGGGACUUGAGUACAGAAGAGGAAAGCGGAAUUCCAAGUGUAGCGGUGAAAUGCGUAGAGAUUUGGAGGAACACCAGUGGCGAAGGCGGCUUUCUGGUCUGUAACUGACGCUAAGGCGCGAAAGCGUGGGGAGCAAACAGGAUUAGAUACCCUGGUAGUCCACGCCGUAAACGAUGAGUGCUAAGUGUUAGGGGGUUUCCGCCCCUUAGUGCUGCAGCUAACGCAUUAAGCACUCCGCCUGGGGAGUACGGCCGCAAGGCUG